rnacentral:rRNA from 1 species
AUGAUACUUUCUGUUUUGUCGAGCCCUGCUUUGGUCUCUGCUUUGAUGGUUGUACGUGCUAAAAAUCCGGUACAUUCCGUUUUGUUUCCCAUCCUAGUCUUUUGCGACACUUCUGGUUUACUUAUUUUGUUAGGUCUCGACUUCUCCGCUAUGAUCUCCCCAGUAGUUCAUAUAGGAGCUAUUGCCGUUUCAUUCCUAUUCAUGGUUAUGAUGUUCAAUAUUCAAAUAGCGGAGAUUCACGAAGAAGUAUUGCGCUAUUUACCAGUGAGUGGUAUUAUUGGAGUGAUCUUUUGGUGGGAAAUGUUCUUCAUUUUAGAUAAUGAAACCACUCCAUUACUACCAACCCACAGAAAUACGACCUCUCUGAGAUAUACGGUUUAUGCCGGAAAGGACUAA